rnacentral:rRNA from 1 species
GGGUCGUUUAACAAAAAAAACCAGACUGCUUGUUAACGCAAGCGAUAGCCUGAGCGUUCGUCGCUAAGGAUGUGUUCGCGCAUAUCCUGAUUGUGGCGUCGCUCGAAAUGAUACGUGGUUCUUUCUUUGAUUCGAAAGCAGCGACGUGAUGGUAUCGUACAGACAGACGUAUGAGUAACACCCGUCGAGUCCCGGAGCUCUUGCGCGUUUGCAGUUUCUGCGAUCGCACCGGGCGGACCGACGCUAGGUUUGUUACUUUGGUUCUUGACAACGAUCGCACGUUCGUAUCAAAUUGACCAUUUAAACAAUUUUUAAUCGACGACCUCAGAGCAGGCGAGACUACCCGCUGAAUUUAA